ensembl:lncRNA
GGGGGUUUGCAAUGUUUUGUUGGGUUGGACUGAAGUUUUUGCAUAUUUUAAUUUAAAUGAAUACACGUAGGUAGUGUUUUGAGAUCAGACAGGACUAUAAUCAGAUAUUGUACAAUAGAUACAGUACAGUGGAGAAUUCUGUAUGAUGCGACCCAUAUAAUCCUGUUUUUUCUUCUUCUGUUUUUGCAUAUUUUAGAAGUCCAAAUUAACUAUGGGUUGAGUUUAUUAUAUUGUUUUACUGUGCUGUUAGGUUAAAUAAAGACGACUGAAAGCAUGGACUCGUUGAUGAAAUGCAAUCCUGAUGAAAAUGAAAUGUUUAAAAUGCAUCUGAAUAAAGCCGUAGCUGCUGAUGCGUAAACGCACGCUUCAAAAUGUGUUGAUUUUCCUUUAUUUGCCAGCAGAGGGCGCUGAUGCUUCUGGAAUGAUUCUUUAGAAGUUCCUGACUUCAGGUCCCACCGAGCUGGGAAAGAAUUUUAUUAGAUUUAACCCCUGCUCUUGUCUUUACAGUCUGCAAGAAUAAAGCAGUCUGAUUACAGAGUACAACUGCUUGGCACCUGUCAGGGGUGGGAGAUGUUUAUUAUGCAGCAAGCGAACAGUCAAGUUCCCGAAGUUCUCGUCAAGUUCCCGAAGUUCUCGUCAAGUUCCCGAGGUUGACGUGUUGGAAGCAGGAAAAUCCCCCAGAUCUCAAUCCGAUCCAGCAUCUGUGGAAUGUUCUGGACAAACAAGUCCGAUCCACGGAGACAGGACCUCACAACUCGUAGAACUUUCAGGAUCUGCUAACAUCUUGGUGCCAGACACCACACGCCUCGACGGGUCCGAGCUGUUUUGGAGGCACGAGGAGAGGAGGACCUACACGAUAUUACACAGGUGGUUUUAAUGUUACGGCUGAUCGGUGUGUUUUAAUCUUAAAGGAUAGUUGAUCCACAAAUCUUGACAUUUUAAUGAACUAAAACCUGACUACUGAGUGAAAACUGUUUUAAAGCUCUUCUUCAUAUCAGUGCUGAAGAUCUUUGAGAUUGACCUUAAACACUGAUGGGUCCUACUUCAGUCCGUGAGACUCCACAACCGUCCUGUCCUUUCCAUUGUGAGGACGAAGGUAAUGGAACAUCCUCUUCUUAGCUUUCAUCAACAAAAUCAACCCUGACAUGAACAUAAACAUACAUAAACAAUGAAAGGUUUAUUCUAACAGAACUGAGCUGUUUUAAAGGCAUGUUCUAAAGGUGAUAACGGAUGGGAAAAUGAGAGGUUUUUGUUAAGAUGGUGUAAUGACACUUUUUCAGGCUGAGAGUCACAUGACUGUGUAUCUCCGAGCGGUUCUGGUCCAUCAGGGUCACAUGACUGUGUAUCUCCGAGCGGUUCUGGUCCAUCAGGGUCACAUGACUGUGUAUCUCCGAGCGGUUCUGGUCCAUCAGGGUCACAUGACUGUGUAUCUCCGAGCGGUUCUGGUCCCUCAGUGUCACAUGACUGGAAAUUUGAACAAUCCAAAAAAUCCAAAAGUUUUUACCGAUUGAACGUCAGCUGUAAAUUAUCAAUAACGCUCGAGGCACGUUCACAUUUAGCCACGCCCACAAGACGCCGUAAAAAGCGAACAUCACAGAGAAAAUGACAACACGAGGACUAAUCUCCUAAUACGGAAAUUUAGACAAGCUCAGG